rnacentral:lncRNA from 1 species
CUUCCACCAAACCACCAGAGCCUGUCACAAUGAUUCCUGGGGCAAGUUAAAGAAACAAGCUGGCAAAAUGGAUAGAUGGUCCACAGCUCAAAGAGCCAUGUGCGGCAUGUACAGCAGAUAAUAAUUAAUAAUUGACGAUAGCCUUAUUCCACAAGCAAUUGACGAAACUACAACUAGAAACAGAAGGGCUGCUGCUGCUAGCUGGAAUUUGAUUGUGGAAGAAGAAGAUAUAGCUCAAAAAGGAAGAAAGCAACGGCUCUUUU